CAGCCGCCGCGGUAAUACGUAGGGCGCAAGCGUUGUCCGGAAUUAUUGGGCGUAAAGAGCUCGUAGGCGGUCUGUCGCGUCUGGUGUGAAAUCCCGAGGCUCAACCUCGGGCUUGCAUCGGGUACGGGCAGACUAGAGUGCGGUAGGGGAGACUGGAAUUCCUGGUGUAGCGGUGGAAUGCGCAGAUAUCAGGAGGAACACCGAUGGCGAAGGCAGGUCUCUGGGCCGCAACUGACGCUGAGGAGCGAAAGCAUGGGGAGCGAACAGGAUUAGAUACCCCUGUAGUCCCUGUCUCUUAUAC
rnacentral:rRNA from 1 species